rnacentral:rRNA from 1 species
UGGUGGGUAGUUUGACUGGGGCGGUCUCCUCCUAAAGAGUAACGGAGGAGCACGAAGGUUGGCUAAUCCUGGUCGGACAUCAGGAGGUUAGUGCAAUGGCAUAAGCCAGCUUGACUGCGAGCGUGACGGCGCGAGCAGGUGCGAAAGCAGGUCAUAGUGAUCCGGUGGUUCUGAAUGGAAGGGCCAUCGCUCAACGGAUAAAAGGUACUCCGGGGAUAACAGGCUGAUACCGCCCAAGAGUUCAUAUCGACGGCGGUGUUUGGCACCUCGAUGUCGGCUCAUCACAUCCUGGGGCUGAAGUAGGUCCCAAGGGUAUGGCUGUUCGCCAUUUAAAGUGGUACGCGAGCUGGGUUUAGAACGUCGUGAGACAGUUCGGUCCCUAUCUGCCGUGGGCGCUGGAGAAUUGAGGGGGGCUGCUCCUAGUACGAGAGGACCGGAGUGGACGCAUCACUGGUGUUCGGGUUGUCAUGCCAAUGGCACUGCCCGGUAGCUAAAUGCGGAAGAGAUAAGUGCUGAAAGCAUCUAAGCACGAAACUUGCCCCGAGAUGAGUUCUCCCUGAGACUUUAAGUCUCCUGAAGGAACGUUGAAGACGACGACGUUGAUAGGCCGGGUGUGUAAGCGCAGCGAUGCGUUGAGCUAACCGGUACUAAUGAACCGUGAGGCUUAACCUUACAACGCCGAAGCUGUU